rnacentral:rRNA from 1 species
GGGUCAUUAGGUUGGUCGUGCCACCGGUACGUACUGGUCUCACUGAUUCCUCCUUCCUGAAGAACCGUAAUGCCAUUAAUUUGGUGUUGCGGGGAAACAGGACUGUUACUUUGAAAAAAUUAGAGUGUUUAAAGCAAGCUAACGCUUGAAUACAUUAGCAUGGAAUAAUGAAAUAGGACGAUCGAUCCUAUUUUAUUGGUUUCUAGGAUUGACGUA